GAGGAUAUGGCUCAAGUAGCAGAGUGCAUGUUUAGCAUGCACAAUGUCCUGGGUUCAAUCCCCAGUACCUCCA
rnacentral:tRNA from 1 species